GAUGAAGAACGCAGCGAAAUGCGAUAAGUAAUGUGAAUUGCAGAAUUCAGUGAAUCAUCGAAUCUUUGAACGCACCUUGCGCCCUUUGGCUAUUCUGAAGGGCAUGCCUGUUUGAGUAUCAUGAACACCUCAACUCUCAUGGUUUGCCAUGAUGAGCUUGGACUUUGGGGGUCUUGCUGGCCUACGGUCAGCUCCUCUCAAAUGAAUCAGCUUGCCAGUGUUUGGUAGAGUCGCAGGUGUGAUAACUAUCUACGCUUGUGGUUUUCUGCCAGAUAACCUUCAGUGAUGGAGGUUCGCUGGAGCUUAUAAAUGUCUCUCCCCAGUGAGGACAGCUUUUUGAACGUUUGAUCUCAAAUCAGGUAGGACUACCCGCUGAACUUAAGCAUAUCACUAAGCGGAGGA
rnacentral:misc_RNA from 1 species